CCUACGGGCGGCAGCAGUGGGGAAUAUUGCGCAAUGGGCGAAAGCCUGACGCAGCGACGCCGCGUGCGGGAUGAAGGCCUUCGGGUUGUAAACCGCUGUCGGGAGGGACGAAGUUCUGACGGUACCUCCAAAGGAAGCACCGGCUAACUCUGUGCCAGCAGCCGCGGUAAUACAGCGGGUGCCAGCGUUGUCCGGAAUCACUGGGCGUAAAGGGCGCGUAGGCGGCCUUGUACGUCGGGGGUGAAACGCUGCAGCUUAACCGCAGCACUGCCUUCGAGACUGCUGGGCUUGAGCACGGUAGAGGCUGGUGGAAUUCCCGGUGUAGCGGUGGAAUGCGUAGAGAUCGGGAAGAACAUCGGUGGCGAAGGCGGCCAGCUGGGCCGUUGCUGACGCUGAGGCGCGAAAGCUAGGGGAGCGAACGGGAUUAGAUACCCCUGUAGUC
rnacentral:rRNA from 1 species